rnacentral:rRNA from 1 species
CGUAGGUGGCAAGCGUUGUCCGGAAUUAUUGGGCGUAAAGCGCGCGCAGGCGGUUCCUUAAGUCUGAUGUGAAAGCCCCCGGCUCAACCGGGGAAGGUCAUUGGAAACUGGGGAACUUGAGUGCAGAAGAGAAGAGCGGAAUUCCACGUGUAGCGGUGAAAUGCGUAGAGAUGUGGAGGAACACCAGUGGCGAAGGCGGCUCUUUGGUCUGUAACUGACGCUGAGGCGCGAAAGCGUGGGGAGCAAACAGGAUUAGAUACCCUGGUAGUCCACGCCGUAAACGAUGAGUGCUAAGUGUUAGAGGGUUUCCGCCCUUUAGUGCUGCAGCUAACGCAUUAAGCACUCUGCCUGGGGAGUACGGCCGCAAGGCUG